UAAAAUUUGAACACAGUGUCAAGACGACAAUUCGAUUACCACUUAACACAAUCGUCUAAAAUUUGAACACAGUGUCAAGACGACAAUUCGAUUACCACUUAACACAAUCCUCUAAAAUUUGAACACAGUGUCAAGACGACAAUUCGAUUACAACUUAACACAAUCGUCUAAAAUUUGAACACAGUGUCAAGACGACAAUUCGAUUACCAUUUA
rnacentral:lncRNA from 1 species